rnacentral:rRNA from 1 species
UUCGGAAGUACACGAGUGGCAAACGGGUGCGUAACACGUAUGCAACCUACCUUCAACAAGGGGAUAGCCUCGGGAAACCGGGAUUAAUACCCUAUGGACUUUUAAUAUCACCUGAUAUAAAGAGUAAAACUACGGUGGUUGAAGAUGGGCAUGCGUCCUAUUAGCUAGUUGGUGAGGUAACGGCUCACCAAGGCAACGAUAGGUAGGGGGCGUGAGAGCGUGAUCCCCCACACGGGCACUGAGACACGGGCCCGACUCC